GACGAACGCUGGCGGCGUGCUUAACACAUGCAAGUCGAACGGAAAGGCCCUGCUUUUGUGGGGUGCUCGAGUGGCGAACGGGUGAGUAACACGUGAGUAACCUGCCCUUGACUUUGGGAUAACUUCAGGAAACUGGGGCUAAUACGGGAUAGGAUCUCCUGCUGCAUGGUGGGGGUUGGAAAGUUUCGGCGGUUGGGGAUGGGCUCGCGGCUUAUCAGCUUGUUGGUGGGGUAGUGGCUUACCAAGCCUUUGACGGGUAGCCGGCCUGAGAGGGUGACCGGCCACGUUGGGACUGAGAUACGGCCCAGACUCCUACGGGAGGCAGCAGUGGGGAAUAUUGCACAAUGGGCGGAAGCCUGAUGCAGCAACGCCGCGUGCGGGAUGACGGCCUUCGGGUUGUAAACCGCUUUCGCCUGUGACGAAGCGUGAGUGACGGUAAUGGGUAAAGAAGCACCGGCUAACUACGUG
rnacentral:rRNA from 1 species